UGUCUAAGUAUAAGCAAUUUAUACGGUGAAACUGCGAAUGGCUCAUUAAAUCAGUUAUCGUUUAUUUGAUAGUACCUUACUACAUGGAUACCUGUGGUAAUUCUAGAGCUAAUACAUGCUGAAAACCUCGACUUCGGAAGGGGUGUAUUUAUUAGAUAAAAAACCAAUGCCCUUCGGGGCUCCUUGGUGAAUCAUAAUAACUUAACGAAUCGCAUGGCCUUGCGCCGGCGAUGGUUCAUUCAAAUUUCUGCCCUAUCAACUUUCGAUGGUAGGAUAGUGGCCUACCAUGGUGGCAACGGGUAACGGGGAAUUAGGGUUCGAUUCCGGAGAGGGAGCCUGAGAAACGGCUACCACAUCCAAGGAAGGCAGCAGGCGCGCAAAUUACCCAAUCCCGACACGGGGAGGUAGUGACAAUAAAUACUGAUACGGGGCUCUUUUGGGUCUCGUAAUUGGAAUGAGUACAAUCUAAAUCCCUUACCCAGGAACAAUUGGAGGGCAAGUCUGGUGCCAGCAGCCGCGGUAAUUCCAGCUCCAAUAGCGUAUAUUAAAGUUGUUGCAGUUAAAAAGCUCGUAGUUGAACCUUGGGUUCGGCCGGCCGGUCCGCCUCACCGCGAGUACUGUCCGGCCGUUCCUUUCCUUCUGGGGAAUCCCAUGGCCUUCACUGGCUGUGGGGGGAACCAGGACUUUUACUGUGAAAAAAUUAGAGUGUUCAAAGCAGGCCUUUGCUCGAA
rnacentral:rRNA from 1 species